GGAGCGAUUGAACUCCAAGCCCUGCUCGGCAGGCUCCAGCUGACGGGCUAUUUUUUGCCGUGGUUGACUAAAUAUGGUCAGGGAGGGAAGAGCAGGAGCAGGGGCCGCGCGCCCGGGGUGAGGACUAAUCCCAUCCCUGGGCCUGCUCUCUGUUCCCUUCCUGCAUUAGAGAUUGGCUAUAAGGAGAAGGCUGACGGCUGCAGCAUGAAGCGCAUUAUUACCUUGUGAUUCCAUGACCCUCCUCUAUGCAUCCCUAACUCUCGAAAGCUGAUUCAGCUUUCAGCUAGUGCUCUGGUGAGUCCUCUGCUGCAACAGAAGCUCCUAACUGGACUUAAGACAGACAAAAACAGGCACGUUCUCUGUCCCAAAGACCUGACAGCAUUCACCAGUCAAGCAUAGGAAGAGGAGGUGGCAAAGAAGGGACCCACUUCUGCCUUUGAUCUUCCAAGUGUCUCAGGUGGUGUGAUCAGAUCAGCUGGAUUCUGCCCAUGGAGUUUUUUUUCUGGCAAUCCUUUUCCUUCACCUGUUUUUCUGUUAUUUUUUAAAAUUUUUUUUCUGAGAGGGGAGAAAAGAAAGGACGAGCAAGCCAACAGGCAGAUAAUUGUUCUGUGCUGACAGUUUGUUAAGUGAUGGAAGCACAGUUUUAGUCAAGAGAUCUUCGUUACAGCAGCGAGUGAGCAGAAGUCUCUUCCUCCCAGAUGGCAUUGACAUAUAGCCUGAAGGGGCAAUCAGGAUACAAAGCUAAAGAUGGUUAAAGACAUUAAAAACUGUACAAUGUGAGCAC